AGUGAACGCUGGCGGUAGGCCUAACACAUGCAAGUCGAACGGCAGCACAGUAAGAGCUUGCUCUUACGGGUGGCGAGUGGCGGACGGGUGAGGAAUACAUCGGAAUCUACUUUUUCGUGGGGGAUAACGUAGGGAAACUUACGCUAAUACCGCAUACGACCUACGGGUGAAAGCAGGGGAUCUUCGGACCUUGCGCGAUUGAAUGAGCCGAUGUCGGAUUAGCUAGUUGGCGGGGUAAAGGCCCACCAAGGCGACGAUCCGUAGCUGGUCUGAGAGGAUGAUCAGCCACACUGGAACUGAGACACGGUCCAGACUCCUACGGGAGGCAGCAGUGGGGAAUAUUGGACAAUGGGCGCAAGCCUGAUCCAGCCAUACCGCGGGGGUGAAGAAGGCCUUCGGGUUGUAAAGCCCUUUUGUUGGGAAAGAAAAGCAGCAGGUUAAGACCCCGCUGUUCUGACGGUACCCAAAGAAUAAGCACCGGCUAACUUCGU
rnacentral:rRNA from 1 species